GUGAGGAAUAUUGGACAAUGGGCGCAAGCCUGAUCCAGCCAUGCCGCGUGCAGGAAGACGCAUCUAUGGUGUGUAAACUGCUUUUGUACGGGAAGAAACACUCCCUCGUGAGGGAGCUUGACGGUACCGUAAGAAUAAGGAUCGGCUAACUCCGUGCCAGCAGCCGCGGUAAUGCGGAGGAUCCAAGCGUUAUCCGGAAUCAUUGGGUUUAAAGGGUCCGUAGGCGGUUUAAUAAGUCAGUGGUGAAAGCCCAUCGCUCAACGAUGGAACGGCCAUUGAUACUGUUAGACUUGAAUUACAAGGAAGUAACUAGAAUAUGUAGUGUAGCGGUCAAAUGCUUAGAUAUUACAUGGAAUACCAAUUGCGAAGGCAGGUUACUACUUGUGGAUUGACGCUGAUGGACGAAAGCGUGGGGAGCGAACAGGAUUAGAAACCCUGGUAGUCC
rnacentral:rRNA from 1 species